CGAGUGGCGGACGGGUGAGUAAUGCUUGGGAACUUGCCUUUGCGAGGGGGAUAACAGUUGGAAACGACUGCUAAUACCGCAUAAUGUCUUCGGACCAAACGGGGCUUCGGCUCCGGCGCAAAGAGAGGCCCAAGUGAGAUUAGCUAGUUGGUAAGGUAACGGCUUACCAAGGCGACGAUCUCUAGCUGUUCUGAGAGGAAGAUCAGCCACACUGGGACUGAGACACGGCCCAGACUCCUACGGGAGGCAGCAGUGGGGAAUAUUGCACAAUGGGGGAAACCCUGAUGCAGCCAUGCCGCGUGUGUGAAGAAGGCCUUCGGGUUGUAAAGCACUUUCAGUUGUGAGGAAAAGUUAGUAGUUAAUACCUGCUAGCCGUGACGUUAACAACAGAAGAAGCACCGGCUAACUCCGUGCCAGCAGCCGCGGUAAUACGGAGGGUGCGAGCGUUAAUCGGAAUUACUGGGCGUAAAGCGCGCGCAGGCGGUUUGUUAAGCUAGAUGUGAAAGCCCCGGGCUCAACCUGGGAUGGUCAUUUAGAACUGGCAGACUAGAGUCUUGGAGAGGGGAGUGGAAUUCCAGGUGUAGCGGUGAAAUGCGUAGAUAUCUGGAGGAACAUCAGUGGCGAAGGCGACUCCCUGGCCAAAGACUGACGCUCAUGUGCGAAAGUGUGGGUAGCGAACAGGAUUAGAUA
rnacentral:rRNA from 1 species